rnacentral:rRNA from 1 species
AACGCUGGCGGUAUGCUUAACACAUGCCUCUCGAACGGGAUCUUCGGAUUUAGUGGCGGACGGGUGAGUAACGCGUGAGAAUCUGCCUUUAGGACGGGGACAACAGUUGGAAACGGCUGCUAAAACCCGAUGUGCCCUUAGGGGUGAAAUAUUUAUAGCCUGAAGAUGAGCUCGCGUCUGAUUAGCUAGUAGGUUGGGUAAUGGCUGACCUAGGCGACGAUCAGUAACUGGUCUGAGAGGAUGACCAGUCACACUGGGACUGAGACACGGCCCAGACUCCUACGGGAGGCAGCAGUGGGGAAUUUUCCGCUAUGGGCGCAAGCCUGACGGAGCAAUACCGCGUGAGGGAGGAAGGCUCUUGGGUCGUAAACCUCUUUUAUCAGGGAAGAACACAAUAACGGUACCUGAUGAAUCAUCAUCCGCUAACUCCGUGCCAGCAACCGCGGUAGCCGCGGUAAUACAGAGGAUGCAAGCGUUAUCCGGAAUUAUUGGGCGUAAAGCGUCCGCAGGUGGUUUUGGUAGUCUGCUGUCAAAGCGCGAGGCUCAA